UCUGCCUGCCUGGCCGUGAAUAGGCUGCUGAGCUGCCCGCUAGGUAUCCUUACAGACCUCAGACCUUGCCGUAUUGCUCGAAAUUAAACCAAGUAUUGCUAGUCAAUUCAGACGGGUCGCAAUUACUAUGGACUCGCGGAAGACCAAAGCUUUUCUGCUCGAAUCAAGGUCUUACCGAAGGCGAUGAAAAAUCUCCAGCGGACCCAAGUGAAGGCGAGCAGACGAAGUGGCGGGCAGGAGUGGUGGGUCAGUGGCUUCUUACCUUGACCUCCGUGAACACAGUGGAGAGCCUGUGAGCUGCAAACACCACAACUUCACGGCGCCUUUGUCCCCCCUCGCCUGGCUGGUUGUCUUGCAUCUCUCCGACACUCCAAUUCGUGACUCAGCCUCCACUCGUCCGUGAAUCCCCGAUGCACCCUCACCACCACUACCUUUAUCAUCACCGCCCCUUCAAUAGAUUGGCUUCUGAGGGCAGCUCCAUUGUCCCUAACCCCUCUCUGUCCGGAUUACGUUGCGUCUAUUUUUGUUUGUAAUGAUUUAUUUCUAUGUGUUUGUUCUGUCAUUGUCUUCCUUCA